ACCAACACAAAGUUUGUGAUCUUUCCAAACUUCUCAACAAUCAGUUCCACUCCAUUCAUUAGAGAGAGUGGCAAUGAUCCUGUGGCUAAGUGUGGUGUCCUUACUAGCUGUCCUCAGAGGUGUCCAAUCUGAGGCCCAGUUGGUGGAGUCUGGAGGGGAUGUGAGAAGACCUGAGGAAUCCCUCCAUCUCUCCUGCCAAAUCUCUGGAUUGAACUACAGCAGUUAUAACAUGGGCUGGGUGAAACAGGCUCUAGGGAAAGGACUGGAAUGGGUGGCAUGGAUACAUGAUAUUGGAGGACUAACUGACUACUCAGACAAUGUGAAGGGACUCUUCAUCCUCUCCAGGAACAAUGCCAAAAGCCAGCUGUAUCUGAUGAACAUCCUCAGAGCAGAGGACAUGGUGGUCUAUUACUGUGCAAGAGACACAGUGAGAAGAAGUGAAUCUGAAAACAGACAAGAACCUUCUCUAACUCAGAGCAGAUCUCAUAGUGGAUUCAGUUGCCGAAGAUUGACAUUGAAUCUUUGUACCAAGGAGCAGGUGAUCAAUCUGCAUCAUAGCAGUAGAAUACUCCAUGGACCAGAAGAAUAUUUUAAGAGUUAA